UGGGGAAUUUUGGACAAUGGGCGAAAGCCUGAUCCAGUCAUGCCGCGUGAGUGAAGAAGGCCUUCGGGUUGUAAAGCUCUUUCAGACGGAAAGAAAACUUCUGGGCUAAUAUCUUGGGAGGAUGAUGGUAUUGUAAGAAGAAGCAUCGGCUAACUACGUGCCAGCAGCCGCGGUAAUACGUAGGGUGCGAGCGUUAAUCGGAAUUACUGGGCGUAAAGCGUGCGCAGGCGGUGAUGUAAGACAGAUGUGGAAUCCCCGGGCUCAACCUGGGAACUGCGUUUGUGACUGCAUCACUCGAGUACGGCAGAGGGAGGUGGAAUUCCGCGUGUAGCAGUGAAAUGCGUAGAGAUGCGGAGGAACACCGAUGGCGAAGGCAGCCUCCUGGGCCAGUACUGACGCUCAUGCACGAAAGCGUGGGGAGCAAACA
rnacentral:rRNA from 1 species